rnacentral:lncRNA from 1 species
UUUUGCUCUGUAUUGCCAAGUAGCUUUAUAAGAGUACAUGUCUAAAAAUGACUUCAUCCUGGGGCACGUGGGUGGCUUAGUUAGUUGAGCAUCUGACUUCGGCUCAGGUCAUGAUUCCAGGUCCUGGGAUCGAGCCCCACAAAGGGCUUCCUACUCAGCAGGGGAGUCUGUUUCUCUCUCUUCCUCUGCUGUCCCCCCUGCUUAUAUUCACUUGCUCUCUCUCUCUCUCCCCCUGUCAAAUAAAUAAAUAAAAUCUUUUUAAAAAGCAAAAAACAACUUCAUCCUGGCUUCCUGAUUGAUAAUUUAUCAGAAUAUAGAAUUUUUGACCAAAAAUCUUUUCUUUCAGAUUUGAAAGUCAAUGCUCCAUUGACUUCUAGGAUCCAGUGUACUAAUGGGCAGUGAGAGGAAAAUUCAAUAUAUUUUUCUUUUAGGUAAUAAGUUUAAUUCUCUCUGUUAACCGUGAUGCCUUAAAAUUUUUAAAUGGCAUCACUGUUCUGCUUAGGCCUAUCUGCAAUGUGAAAAUAUGUGACAAGCUUUAACUCUGGAAGCUUUCUUAUAUUAAAUGAAAUUGGUUAUCAACAUUUUUCACUUAUUUAUUCCUGAAUUUCCUCUUAGUUGAACACUGGACAUUUCAGAUUGAAUUCUAGGUCCCUUACCUUUCUCUCAUGUUUCUUGUCUUUUCAUUUUCUAUUCUUCCAGACCUCCUAAAAUUUAACUUCCAAAUCUCCUGCUGUAUUUUGUAUAACAAUAAUACUUUUUUUAAUUUUUAGGAGUUCUUUCUCAUUCUCUGAUUAUUCACUUUCACAGUAUAUUCUUCCUUUUAUGGAUGUAACAUCUUAUAUCUCUGUGAGGAAACUAAUUGUAACUUUUUUUAUUUUCCACAUGUUCUGAACUCUGAAUCAUCUGCUUCCUUUAGGGUCAGUUUUCCUAUAUUUUUUGUAGGUCUUUCUUUAAUUUGAAGAUCUUCCUCAUCUAUCUUGUGCUUCUCUGUUGCUCAUUUAUAAUAAUAAUGGGGCCUUUGUGUUCAUGGGUAAGACUUAUCAGCUGGGGGCAGCCCAGGUGGCUCAGCGGUUUAGCUCCACCUUCAACCCAGGGCCUGGUCCUGGAGACCUGGGAUCCAGUCCCAUGUCAGACUCCCUGCAUGGAGCCUGCUUCUUCCUCUGCCUGUGUCUCUGCCUCUCUGCCUCUCACUCUCUCUCUCUCAUGAAUAAAUAAAUAAAAUCUAUUAAAAAAAACCUCAUCAACUCAAAAACAUGUUAGGGUGAGCAUGUGAAGAGCAGUCACUGAGCCAAUGGCUCCCCAAGUCCUACCAUGUGGAAUGCUUUACUUUGUGACAAAACAAAACAACCCCUCCAUUUGCUUUCUGGGUUAUCCCCUUCUAAAAAAAAAGUACAUUCAGUUUUUUGUUAAAUUCACUCUCUAUUUUUCAUCUACCUAGUAAUAAGUAUUGGAGAAAAGGGGGAGGGCAGUGAAGGGAUUAAUGGUCCCUGAUUGUGGCUUCAUUGCUCAUUUCCAACCCCUUCUUCUAGUGGCUUCUAAGGCUAUAGUCUUGCUGAGGCUCCUUAGUUAAAACCACUCCAGUCUCCACUGUUCUAGAGGCCAUAUAUAAUCAUAUUUCAAGGCAGAAAAGACCUCAGAAUUUUGAACCACUGGGCCAUACAGAUGAUUUCUUAAGAUUCUUGGGGAAUUUCAUUAGCAUCACCCACCUACAGGCAGUAUUGUUCUGAAACACCUGUAAUGUCUUUCAAUGGAGUCAAUACAUUUUUAUUAAAGUGGUGUUCAUGGUAAGGCAACUCCUCCGAUUAGGAAAUGUGAAUAACAUUAGAAUGCUCAAAGAGCCCACUAUGACCCAAUAUGGGUCAAACAUGAGCCAAAUAAGAAAAAGAGAGAGGAAAGAAAACACAAGAUUAGAAGAUAGGAGAUCUGAAUGUGGAUCCUCAUUCCGUCUCUAAUCAGCUAUGAGACCUUAAAUAAGUUGAUUCACCUUUCUGGACCUUAUCUGUAAAAUAAGAACUUCAUGUAUCAAUAAACAGCAUAAUGAAAUACUAAGUUAUGGUCUGAGAUUUUUCCCAGAAUAUGGUUAAAAUUUAUGUAUAUAUUAAACAUACAAAAUGUUCUUGUUUUACAUACCAAAGGUGGAGAAGGAAAGAAAUCAAAUUGUUAUACAAUGAAUAGAGUGUAUUGAGACAGAAGAACCAGCUGGAACUAAAAACAGACAUCAGUCCCUUGACACAGUAGAGUAUAUACUGAAUGAAUGAACAAGUGGCAAGAAAUAUAUGUUUAGAGCAGUGAAACUCUUAAAAGAUGAAUGUUGCUGACAUUUGUAAAGAGUAAAAAGUCAUGACAUCAUAACAGAGUGUCCCCCGGCGAGUUCACUGUUAAAAGUGUUACUCCUCCCUAAGACAGGUUGGAGAUUUCCAGUAACAUUUGUCUGUGCCUCUGACUGUCAAAGGAAUUUAUUGUGCAUUUACACAAGCAAGAAAGAAAAAUUAGAAGAGAGACCAAGCUUCAUACUUUUUAACAUGAGAAGUAUCCCCAGCAGAAUUACUGGAGAAACAAAAGUUCCCCUUAAAUAAUUCAAGGGUCUUUUCAUCAGAUGUAUUGAACUGUCAAUAGCAGUUCUCUGUUCCCUGGCAUAUCAUGAACUGACUGCAGCAAGAAAGAUACCAAACAAGAGAAGGCAAAGACUUAAUCUAGCAUAAUAAAUCUAUCUUUGUGUUUAGACAUAUCCUUUAUUUCAGAAACAAAUGUUGAUAGUUCCAACCAACCCUAUUUCUGAUUGUUUCCACCCCAAAUAGUCAUAAGGAUCAGAAUUGUCAAAUCCGGGGCACCUGGGUGGUAGUCAGUUAAGCAACAGACUCAUGGUUUCAGCUCAGGUUGUGAUCUCAGGGUCAUGAGAUUGAUCCCCAUUCAGUGUGGAAUCUGUUUGAGAUUCUCUCUUCCUCUCCCUUCCUCUCCCACUCAUGCUCUCUCUCUCAAAUAAAUAAACCUUAGGGGAAAACAAGGAUGGCAAAUCCUCUUAAUUUAAUUCAAGAAAUAAGCAUCCUGGGACACCUGAGUGGCUCAGUGGUUGAGUGCCUGCCUUCCCCCCAGAGCGUGAUCCUGGAGUCCUAGGAUUGAGUCCUGCAUUGGGCUCCCUGCAUGGCAUAUGCUUCUGUCUCUGCCUGUGUCUCUGCCUCUCUCUCUCUCUCUCUCUCUCUCAC